CACCCCACAGACAUGAAAAAAAACUUAUCGGGCGACUUUGGCAAUGGUGCCGUGUACGUGUUUAAUGCAGAAUUUUGCUGUCGGGUGCCAGCGCGAACAGUUCUAAGAGCAAACAUAGACACAGUUUGACUAAGAACACAUUUUUGUCGGGAAGAAGAGAGGCCAACUGAACUUCUAGAUAACCGAAUGAUCAGUCUAUUUGGCUGGAAUGGAACAUCGAAGUUAGAACGGUAAUUCAGUGUAUGUUGAACGGCUGUAACAACUCAGUGAUCUGAAACUCCAAAGACGAGCUGAAAUACCUAGAAGUUAUGUUUUCCCGAGCGGUAAGUGACAUCAAUUGGUCAGCUGAGUCCUACAGCACCAGGGAUUUGAUGUCGAAGUAUCCUGCCCCACUCUUAGUCCGGGUCACUCAGGGUCAUUGUGGGUUGGAGGAUGUAGACUCGCUUGGUCAAGGACAGGUGAUUCGAAUUCAUCAGUGGCUGAAACAGCAAAGAGUUAUUGCAAUAGAUUCGAGAGGGCGCCCCCUUAGCAUUCCUCUAGACUUCAACAUCCCAUUUGAAGUUCUCCCAGACAGGAAACGGUCACUGUUCAAACGGAAAACAAUGUUCUUGGUUGACAUCAUUCGCCAGUACCCUCUUCCCAAGAAGGUUCGUUUCUCUUCUAGUCAUCUGACAUUAAGCGACGCUUUAGAAGGAGCUCGUCUUGGUAUCCGGAUGACCCUGGAAGCCCUGGAACUAAUCCGUAUCCAGGAGGAAGUCUAUCUCCGUGGUAACGCCGUCAAUUUUGGUGACUUGGACCCAUCUAUAUUGAGCAUUCCUGUGCACCAUGAUCUGGAGAUGUCACUAGCUCUUGGUUUAAGGAGCAGUGAAAGAGACUGGCAUCGACUCAUGAGAGAGCUUGACAAUGUGGUGGCUAAGAAAGUACGGUUUCCUGCUGUGCAAGGAAAUAACAAAAUCACCAUUUGUAGCUCAGAAGUGGACGAUGAAAACAGCCAUAAAUUGACAAGGAAGAAUCCUGUAGUACAAAGACGACAACAGUCUCUUGGCCGGACUUACGGAACACUUCGUAAAAAAACUGCUGAAAAGGAGCAUAAGCAACGUCCUUACGAUGUGUCAGAGAAGAUGGGGUCAUUGGUCCCAAAUGGGAUGUCUACGUCUGAUGUCAGGGGUACCAACCGGCGGUUCGUUAAGCGGAACGAAGCUAGAAGGAAACAAGGCAUCGACCGAACCGACACGGUUUCAAUCUCAGGCACCUCAACUUCGGCAACCAGUGUAUCGGAAUCUGUCACAGAUGAUAUGAGCAGCGUCUUCCCAUCAUCAAACAGUGAAGUAUCCAACAUGGAGGGCGAAUUUGAUGACGACAUCAGUGACAUCACAACUGAAGAUGACAUAGUAGAUGUAUACACACCGACCCCCUUUUUCGGUUCCGUGUCAACACUUUCAAAAGGUUUAUUCCGGCCUGAAUAUUGGAGUGGCCGUUACAUGGACGAUAGUUAUCACGCCCAUCACGCCAAAAGAGGGAGCAACAAUAAAUCGGGACAUGGCAGAAGGCUUAGCACAGCGACCAGCUUCAGCAUGAAUGACAUUAAUAUUAUCUUAGGAGGUCUUGACGGCAAACGAGACAAGAACGUGACAUCCCAUCAGCGAGAUCCACCCGAUGGUCGGUCGCUGCAUAGCGGCCGAGAUAUCGAUGACGACGCGAACGAGUCAACGGACUUGUAAAACAAAAACAAACUCAUCCGAUGCAAAAUAAGUUUAUCAAACUGUAUAUCUUGGCACCUGAGGAACUAAGAUAACCUGGAAGACUGCUGUCUCAUAUAUGUUUAAUAUUCAGGUACAAAUAGUCGUAGAUAAUUUCAAAGAGCUUUCAAAAUCAUCAGAACUAUGAGCCAGUGUAAAUAAACACUGAUGGAGAAUGUUACGUUGUUGGCACAUCUGAGAUAUUUAUCAUUAAGAACACCUUCUCAGACAUCUAGACGCAAAUGUUAGCACAAGCCAUGUGAUUUGAGUUCAUGAUUUCAAAGAAUCGUCAACUUUUGGAAAUUCAAGUAUUUAAGAGGGGGAUGUUCUGUUGGUUUUGCACUAGAUACCGUGCCCAAGCACUGUUUUACUCUCUUUUUUUAUUUUGUUUGGACAAGCAGACUUGUCCAAACAAAACUUGUCCAUAUUUAUGUUAUAUUAUUCUCGUUCACUUUUUCGAAUGAAACGUAUUUUUUAACUUUUGAAUUGUACAAAUGAAAUAAUAUGGAUUUUUAGCAAAUCAUAUUCUUGCACUGUAUAUUGCCAGGUAUAUUUUUGAUACAAAAAUGUUACCUUUGAAUGUUGUUGUUUAAAUAUUGAAACCUCCUAUAAAAGAUUCUUCUUUCAUGGAUAACAGAAGCUUCCAUGUAUAACUGUACUAGUGACAUUUAUAUAUAUAUAAAUAUAAAAAUUGUAAUUCGUGCCUAUAUUGUAAGACUGCCUGCGAGUUAAAUAUAAAUACAAAAAAGAGCAGCCAUCAGGAACGUUUUCGGGGGCACAACUUUUUUUCAGCUGAGCAUAAGAGGUCGUAGCGUUCGAAAGAAACCCCUUAUAACAGUACAAUGGUACAUACCGGCAUUGUUUUGCAAAAAGUGGUUAGUUAAAAAUGUGGAAACUCAGAUUUAAGUUCUGCUUUACUCCAGUGAUGGAGUUUUAGAGUUAUGGGCAAAAAGGCUGAGCAACAAUAAAAUUGCAGCUUGUGUCAUUGCCAAGCAUU
rnacentral:misc_RNA from 1 species